UCAGGACGAACGCUGGCGGCGUGCUUAACACAUGCAAGUCGAGCGGAAAGGCCUCCUUCGGGGGGUACUCGAGCGGCGAACGGGUGAGUAACACGUGAGUGAUCUGCCCUCUACUCUGGGAUAACUGCUUGAAAGGGUGGCUAAUACCGGAUAUUCCUGUGGGAUCGCAUGGUUUUUCAGGGAAAGCUUUUGUGGUGGGGGAUGUGCUCGCGGCCUAUCAGCUUGUUGGUGGGGUAAUGGCCUACCAAGGCUUUGACGGGUAGCCGGCCUGAGAGGGUGACCGGCCACACUGGGACUGAGACACGGCCCAGACUCCUACGGGAGGCAGCAGUGGGGAAUAUUGGACAAUGGGCGGAAGCCUGAUCCAGCAACGCCGCGUGAGGGAUGACGGCCUUCGGGUUGUAAACCUCUUUCAGCACAGACGAAGCUUGUUCCACGUGUGGGGUGGGUGACGGUAUGUGCAGAAGAAGCACCGGCCAACUACGUGCCAGCAGCCGCGGUAAUACGUAGGGUGCGAGCGUUGUCCGGAAUUAUUGGGCGUAAAGGGCUCGUAGGCGGUUUGUCGCGUCGGGAGUGAAAUCCACUGGCUUAACUGGUGGCUUGCUUUCGAUACGGGCAGACUGGAGGUAUGCAGGGGAGAACGGAAUUCCUGGUGUAGCGGUGAAAUGCGCAGAUAUCAGGAGGAACACCGGUGGCGAAGGCGGUUCUCUGGGCAUGUCCUGAC
rnacentral:rRNA from 1 species